AUGAACGCUGGCGGCGUGCCUAAUACAUGCAAGUCGAGCGAACGGACGAGAAGCUUGCUUCUCUGAUGUUAGCGGCGGACGGGUGAGUAACACGUGGAUAACCUACCUAUAAGACUGGGAUAACUUCGGGAAACCGGAGCUAAUACCGGAUAAUAUUUUGAACCGCAUGGUUCAAAAGUAAAAGACGGUCUUGCUGUCACUUAUAGAUGGAUCCGCGCUGCAUUAGCUAGUUGGUAAGGUAACGGCUUACCAAGGCAACGAUGCAUAGCCGACCUGAGAGGGCGAUCGGCCACACUGGAACUGAGACACGGUCCAGACUCCUACGGGAGGCAGCAGUAGGGAAUCUUCCGCAAUGGGCGAAAGCCUGACGGAGCAACGCCGCGUGAGUGAUGAAGGUCUUCGGAUCGUAAAACUCUGUUAUUAGGGAAGAACAUAUGUGUAAGUAACUGUGCACAUCUUGACGGUACCUAAUCAGAAAGCCACGGCUAACUACGUG
rnacentral:rRNA from 1 species